rnacentral:misc_RNA from 1 species
GAUGAAGAACGUAGCGAAAUGCGAUAAGUAAUGUGAAUUGCAGAAUUCAGUGAAUCAUCGAGUCUUUGAACGCACAUUGCGCCCCCUGGUAUUCCGGGGGGCAUGCCUGUUCGAGCGUCAUUACAACCCUCAAGCUCUGCUUGGUAUUGGGCCCCGCCAGUUCUGGCGGGCCCUAAAGUCAGUGGCGGUGCCUUCCGGCUCCGAGCGUAGUAAUUCUUCUCGCUCUGGAGACCCGGUUGUGUGCUUGCCAACAACCCCCAAUUUUUUAAGGUUGACCUCGGAUCAGGUAGGGAUACCCGCUGAACUUAAGCAUAUCAAUAAGCGGAGGA